UACGUAGGGUGCAAGCGUUGUCCGGAAUUAUUGGGCGUAAAGAGCUCGUAGGCGGUUUGUCGCGUCGGCUGUGAAAACCCGGGGCUCAACCCCGGGCCUGCAGUCGAUACGGGCAAACUAGAGUGUGGUAGGGGAGACUGGAAUUCCUGGUGUAGCGGUGAAAUGCGCAGAUAUCAGGAGGAACACCGGUGGCGAAGGCGCUACCUGGACCGGUUCUGACGCUGAGGCGCGAAAGCGUGGGUAGCAAACAGG
rnacentral:rRNA from 1 species